rnacentral:tRNA from 1 species
GGGGCUAUGGCGCAGUUGGUAGCGCGACUCGUUCACGGUGAGUACAGGGGUUCGAAUCCCCUUAGCUCCACCA